AUUGAGUUUUUAAAAAAAUUCUUAAAAGUUCUAACAACUUCAUGAAAAAAAGAGAUCAAAAUUUUUAUUUUUAGUUUUUUAGACUAAUGACUGGUAUCAUUUCCAGUUUUUCAACCUAAGGAAAUAAAUAAAUAGAGUACUUUUGCACCUGGCUCUCUGCUAGAUGAAAGAAAAAUCAAACAUAACAAGGAAAGUUUGCUGUAGCAAGAGAGACUUGAAGCCAAGGCUGUGUACCAAUUUAUGGUUGGAAUGAAGGGAUUUGGGGGCUACAAAGAAGAGAAGAAUAUUAUUGCUUGAGUGGCUCAGAUGUGAGAAGUGGCUUUUUGGAGAAGGUGACCUGGUUGCUGAGCAGCGGUAGAGGGUGUGCCAAAGUGAGCAAAAUCACACAGCCAUUAGUUGCAAAGACAUAUUUAUGGGUCACUAUUACUGCAGUAUGAGUUGAAGUCGUGUGUGUGUGUGUGUGUGUGUGUGUGUGUGUGUUCAGUGUCACAUGCUCUGUUUUGGCCUCAGGUAGUUCAUGCUCUGCAUUGUCAUCUGCAGAGGGAAGAUUGGAUGAACAGAACAGGUUUUUGAGGCCAGCCGUCCAUGAAACCCAAGUUGCUUAGUGGGGAAGACUCAUAAAUUCUAGUAUGAGUGUGAAGAUGAGCAGAAGGACAUGGUGCUUUGGAUUUAUAGAAACUCAGGAGCAUUUCUGGGGAACGCAUGCCUUCUUACCUGGUCACCUGGUGUCAUCUAUUAUUCCAAGGUUAUAGUUGAGGUCUAAAGUCCUCUUGGGGAUUGACCAAGGUCACACCGCUUGGUGAUUCCCUUUUGCCCUGAGUUUUGUUUGCACCUCCAGCCUGUGUACCGCCUGCUCAGUAAUGAUCUAAUACUUACUGUGUGGGCUUCAGAGUUUAUUUGAUUUGGAGCAACCUGAACGGCCCGUUGGCAAGGACUAAAUAUAAGAUUGUGAACACGGGGACAAGGAUGCAUAUUUCUGGCCAGAGGGGAUCUUGCAAGCUCCGGUAAAAAGCUGCAAAAUCCUGGCAAGAGGUGCUGUAAUGAAAAUGAAUUCUCUAAAUUUAAAUGUUUGUGGUAUAUAAGGUAAAUUCAUAUAAAAGGAGGGAAUACAGAAUUAAAGCAAUGAAGCUUAAUAUUUCUAAUGUGUAGCACCAAUUUAGAAAAAAAAAAAUGAGUUUUUUUGAGUCUGCAAAACUAACGAAUUUUGGAAGAGUCUUGCCCUGACAAUCACACCUAAGAGACAUAAUUUUGCACAAGGCCUGCACCUUGCAGUCUUCAGAAUAGCCUGCUUUUGUUGUUACCUCUCUUGUUUCCUUGCGACAUCCUGUGUUGUGACUGGGCGAUACAUUUUGCUACACUGAUUUUACUGAGGGAGAAACCGCAGCAUGGUGUAGUUGAAAUGACUCAUUCAGUCCCCUAAAAGUGGUCUGUGUGAGAGCCAGGGUUAGGAUUUGGAUCUUCCAUCUUGAAUGCCAUGCUUUGUGUAAAACCCCAUGGUGUACCAAUAUAUCAUUUGGCCCAUUUAAACCACAUGGAUAAUUCAUUUUUCAACACC
ensembl:lncRNA